rnacentral:lncRNA from 1 species
CUGCAAAUCAUAUUCGAAGCUGUUCAAGGAUCUGGUUACAUGAGUGAUAUAGCUAUUGAUGAUCUGACCAUGUCAACAAACAACUGUUCAUUCUGGAAUGCUUCCUGUAAUUUUCGUGAAGACACUUGCAAUUAUGAUAUUGAUUCUACAUAUUCAAGGUACGGCUGGAGAACGAGCAGGUUGUCUG